GCUCGUAGUUGGAUUUCGGAUUUGGGCGACCGGUCCGCCGUUUCGGUGUGCACUGGUCCGACUUUGCUUUCUGUCGGGGACACGCUCUCCCCUUUUGGGGACACGGAGACUCCGCUGUUACUUUGAAAAAAUUAUAGAGUGCACGGGGGGCUUACACUCUGAAUACUAUAUCGUGGAAUAUCACGAUAGGACUCCCAGACUCUUUUGCUGGGCUCCUCGACCCGAGAAAAGAGAAAAAGAGACAGAUGGGGGGAUUCUCAUUCCCAUGUGACAGAUGAAAUUCUCGGGUUUUCCGAGAACAAAAUUCUGCGAAAGCGUUUGCCCCGGAUGUGUUCUCUAUUCUCAAAAAAAAGUUGGGGGGUCUCAAAUAAUCACAUACCCCCUCAUACUCUCCCCUAUACAAUACCCACAAUGGAUUGUGGGAGGUGAAAUCUAUAACAUCUCCCCCACCUUAUGAGAAAUCUCAAACUUUGGGGUCCCGGGGGAGAAUGGGCGCACGGCUGAAACUUUUAGGAGUUGACAGAGGGGGGCCCCCCCGCGUGGGGACUGCGGCUUAUUUUUUCUCUCCACGGGGAAACUUACCCCGGGCCCACAUAUUGAGGAUAGAGACAUUGAGAGCUCUUUCUUGAUUCUCUGGGGGGGGGGGCGUGGGCGUUCUUAUAUGGGGGAGAGAUUUUUCUGGGGAAUUCUCAUAACAAACGAGACCUCUCCCUGCUAAAUAGCUACACCGACCUACGUGGGGGAGAGCUUCUCUUAGGGACUAUUGUGGUUUAUCCGA
rnacentral:rRNA from 1 species